ensembl:lncRNA
CUCGGGUACCCCGACGUCCGGGGAAAGUUUCACAUUGAAGUAAUACACAGGCCCACUCGGGUGGGAUUCUAAGUGUAGACUCUCCGGGCUGCAUAUCUGAGCAACGGCAGCGGACUGGUUGAACAGGAGACAGAGGAUACAACGAGACGGGCUGAUGUCACACUGGAUAUCUGAGGUUUUGGCUCUGAUGGAGACAAAACGGAUGUAUGAUUCAGUGACUACAAUGGCUUGCCAGGAUGAAGUGGUCAGGUGGAAAACCGUGGCCGCAGCUCUCCACGGUGGAGCCCUGGACCAUUGUGGAACAUUCACAACCACCGAUGAUGCCAUCAGCUACUUGUGCGGCUACCAGGGUCACGACCGCACUGUGCGCUCUCCACCCGUUACACACCAACAUCAUGACUUUUACUACCACCCAGACAACUUACCGGGGCUCAUGGGGCUCAGUACGUUUUUCAGGAAUAACACAGCAGAUGCUUGCAUACUGUGCGCGAACAUAAGGGUCACAAUAGAGUCUGCAUCGUUUAGGUAUAAGACCGUUUGGUCAUCCACGAAACCCAAACGUACAAACGGAGACCUGAACCUGUGGCGCUUGGAGCACCUUGCUAUUAUGCACACCCCCUACUUUGUUCUGUUGUUUCUGGAGCUUGUGCAGCUCAAACCAUACAAUUUCCACAACUCUGCCGAUGCCAGACACAGUAUCGCAAGCUACUUGUUUGAACAGCUCAAAGAACACACAAAUAGUACAUUCACAGCAAAAGAUGAUUCUUAUAAGUUCCUACAGGUAUGGUGGAGAUUUCAAAACAGACGAGGGUCCAGGGAAGUUACAUUGUCUAUCCCUUCGUAUCUCAGAUUGAAUACCGGUACCACAGUAUGGAGCCCCAGGAAUGAACAUUUUGCUGCCAGAGAACCUGAACCCCUGUACACCUUCCUGUCAAGACACUGCCUAUGUCACGAAAUAUGUCCGAGCGAGGGAGUAACGUACUCUGAGGAUUUCAAGCUGUCACCCUUAAUAACUGAACUCUCCGAAGGACAGGUGUGUACGUACUCCCUGAGUGUCCUGAUCCCAAAGGUGCACGCUGAAGAAAUUCUAAAUUGUGCUGUCAGGGCGUGCGAGAGGCAACUAGCUAUGCUUCAUCACACAGGUAAAGUCGGUGUUGACCCGAAACAGAUGGAUUGCUGCAGCCCGCUAGAACCCACGCUUGAUUGCAUCGUGUUGGAGCACGUGGGUAGUCCUAAAGUGGUAAGGGUGCACAUUGUAACGAGUUUGGAUGCGCAAUGGCAGACCUUGGAGUCUUGGAUUGCAGGUAUGAGAGGCAAAGCUCUGGAUAUGCGGUUGGCUUUGCACAUAAACAAGGUGUUCCUCGGGGUAAUGGGCUCUCUUAGAGACAUAUGCCUGCUACAUAAGAGACCUCCCAGGCACUUGUACUCUGAGGGAGUGGGCGGAUACCCUAACCUUGCCAAAGCGUUCCUUGUUAACAUCGAAACCGGAGACGUACUCUACUUGUUGUCUUACGUUUCGUUACCCAGGAUGUGUAGAUCCACCAACACUCUCCAGGAUGAAGACACUUUCCGCAUAGCGUGCGCUACUCUUGCGUUGUGUAUAUUGUACGCACACUUGGAAAGGUACGAUUUUGUCCUUGCCAAACGAAAGGAGCUGAGGACUAGUUGGGAAACAGCAAGGUUGCCCUCACACGAAAACCGUGAAGCCCUCUAUGGCCCUCAGGUGAGCUUAGCUAAGGUGGAGGGCAGCAGCGGAUCCCUAGCGAGAGUCUCGAUCGUUGAGAACGCUUUCCAGUUUUGCAUGACUGGUCUAGUGGAUGACAAUAUGUGGUCUACACUGGGGCCGAAGGGACCCGGUUUCCGGGACAUGAGCAAUGUCUACGUGCCACAUGUGUGGUUGGGUGAGUACUCAAGAACACCCAUUGCUCUGGGGACUAAGCUGCAGUCUCUGGGCUGCCAGGAACCGCUGAAUGUGAGCGUUAUCGAAAUGCUCAGGGAAGAGGAAGCAUCCGAGAUCCGAGCAAGGCAGCAUGGUCGCACUAUACGUGAAAUCGAAAGGUACCACGGUUUCAUUAGUGCGUUGACAGUGGCAUAUGCGAUACCGCACGUGAACGAUUUGUUAUAUACUCGCUCCAUUAACAGCUCCUACAUUAGUUCGUACAAUGCUACGGGAUACGUAAACAUGAACAAGCGCUCCAACAGCAGGGUUAGCGCUGAAAUAGGACAGGAAACACACCAGAAUGACCCGGCUGGGAAUACUCCUAAUCACAUACCAAGUCUAAUCAGUACGGAUGGGGAGAACCCCGCAAGCUUGUCUGGUACAUCAUCUACCGCAACAAACACAGAGAUAUACCACCACGAGGAGAAACCAACUUGGAACGCGAGCCAGCGCGAUUGUGAUACAGACAGCGAACAUCGGUUAUACAUCGACAUGGAUGAGGAUCUGACUACUGGGGAGGCACAACCCAAUCAAGCUAUCUUUGAGGGUAUCGCGAAAGCAGGAGCGUUGAAAACAUCGAUGACCCCCAGAAAUUCCAAAGCUUCGGGCUCUUGUGCAGACGUGGUGAAUAGUACCGGGGAGAAGAACAUGUGUUACAUAAACCCCCAAAUAAGUGACCAUUCAUGUAAUACAGAGCUAUCAAAUGUACUGCGUGGCGUUUUCAUGGAGCAGUACAGAAAUGAUCCUGAUACACUGGAUAGAAUUGUAUCCGAACAGUUCAAAGCCGGGACGUGGCCCGAUCUCUCCGUGCCGAUUCAUAAACAGUCCAAGGAGCACAUACCGGAUAUUAGCUGUAAUCAGUAUGUAAACCAGAGUAAUGACCAACCUGAGAGAUAUAUGAUACAUUCACACCCGGACCUUGGGAUUCAGAGGAGGCCUGAGCAUACGGUCCUUUCCGGAGCACGAUUGGAGCAGCUAGCACACUAUGCUAGCAUAGAAGAACCUGCUCAAGUACAUGAAGAAAGAGAGGCGACCCACAAAGAAACCAAGUUUCUCCAAGUGAAUGCACGUUGGAGAUCGAGAGGGUUUAACAUCGGUGACUUGAGGGGAAUUGGAUAUACACAGUACCAGGAUAUGGUAUAUGUCACGAGUCCCGGUAUCAGUAGCUCCAGGGUGAAAGAUAUUACAGUUCAACUUACACACGCAAACACCCAGCCCAUUACUAACCCUUGUACCGGGUUGUCUAAGCCACCGGGUACAACCACAUGGGUUCCCCCAAACGACCUGGCUCCCGUUGUAGGAGUGGUACGCGUUGACCCAGGGAAGCAUAAAGUAUCCUGGCAAUGUGGAAUAGAGACCGUUUUACGUCACCAGUGUGAACUGCGCAACUGUUCGAGCACGGUCUACGAGAAACAGAUUCCUUGUACCAUACUGAGCUGCAGGAGAGGCCCACAGACAUACUAUACGGUAAAUCUAGGGAAGCCUCCCAGGAAAGGGUUUAGACACGUUGAGCUGAUAACCAGUGAGUUCCCACAUUUAACCGAUGCAACCUUACGUAAACACCUGAGGAUUAAAAGCGCAGAGACUUUUUUCCUGGGCGCGGUCUGCACCAUUCAAAACGUAGCCGGUUUGUUGAUUCACAAGGUUUUUACUGGAGAUGCACAGCUUUUAGAACGUCUCUUGGACAUGCACACUUGUCUCCAGGUGCACCCUUUCAUCGCUAGGACGUUCACCCUGCAUCUGAUGAAGAUCCCGUUUUCCCAAAUGUCGGGGGUAGGGGUGUUUGUGGGUGAGACUGUGGGAGACUGGAAUCUAGGCUGCGCGUAUGGAAUGAACACCAUUUCCGAGAAUGAGAAAUUCACACUUGCCUACCACGUUCUUCAAUGCCUAUUACGAGUACAGAUCCUAUCCUUAAGGAUUCUAGGCUUCACUAUGAGGUGUAUACAACCCGCGAGGAUAUGGAAACGGAGGUCUGGAUUCAGAGUGGACUUGAUCGGGUGCCUGGGUGACACUAUAUAUGAGUCUCAUGACAAAUAUCUCUCUUGGGGAGGGAAGGCAGGUUUAGCUACCGUGCACAUUACGCUGGAGCAGUUAGGAUUACUUCAGCGCCUACCGGAUUCGGUGCGGAAUGUGUUGUUGGAGAGCUACACAACCUUUUUCAGAGGGGAACGAGAGCCGAAAAGGGAUGCCCCUUAUGGUCCAGCCACAAUUGAAGACGAAAAGUUACUCCACGUUGUGUACAACGCAUGCUCAUUCACAGAGCAACCCACUUCGGUUGAGAGCACUUGGGAUACUAUACUAGGCUCUGAUGAGUACGAAGAUGUUGACCUGCUCACAGUAGGUGCAACGCUUCGCCCCUACGGGCCUUUCUAUAUCCGUAUACACAACCAGCAGUUCCUGUGGAAUAAAGCUAUUAUAGUGGAGCCCGUGCUGGAUACAUGUGCAGAACAGGCUGAGUUGGUAAAGGUGUUCGAGGGUAAUACUCAUCUUACCGAGGGUCAUCAGAUUGAUGCACAGCAAGCUAGGAUACCCAAACACAAACACGCCGGUCCCAGUCACACAAGGGCAAUACCAGCUGCAGCUGACGCUGUUGCGCUUUUAGCACCUAGUUGCAGCACUCGAGACCAUUUCAAUGAGGGACCCGAUUAUCUCCACAGUUUGUUUUACGACGAAGCUGGCGAGAGUCUAGCUCCUACGCAUGCCAAUGGACCACAGUUUGAUCAGAGACCCAGUUGUACCCAAUCAGCCUCUCUCCAUAGAGUGUUUUGCGGAGACUCUGGCUCGAGUCUAGGUCCUAGGCCUCCAAAUCAAGUCACAUUUUAUCAAGGGGACAGUGGGGAGUGUCUACAACGCUUGUAUCAUGAUAUCUAGUAUGCUUGUCCAUGUGAAUAUCACUAGCUUGCUUCUAUUUCUAGUUGCCUGUGUGUACGGUUUACACUUUGCAGAGAUGAGUACAACAAAACGCUUAAAACUAUGUAUCUGUCCCAUUGGGGUCUUUAUUAGGGUAACGGUGGGGAGUGUCUAUAAAGCUUGUAUCAUGAUAUCUAGUAUGCUUGUCCAUGUGAAUAUCACUAGCUUGCUUCUAUUUCUAGUUGCCUGUGUGUACGGUUUACACUUUGCAGAGAUGAGUACAACAAAACGCUUAAAACUAUGUAUCUGUCCCAUUGGGGUUUUUAUUAGGGUAACGGUGGGGAGUGUCUACAAAGCUUGUAUCAUGUUAUCUAGUAUGCUUGUCCAUGUGAAUAUCACUAUCUUGCUUCUCUUUCUAGUUGCCUGUGUGUACGGUUUACACUUUGCAGAGAUGAGUACAACAAAACGCUUAAAACUAUGUAUCUGUCCCAUUGGGGUUUUUAUUAGGGUAACGGUGGGGAGUGUCUACAAAGCUUGUAUCAUGUUAUCUAGUAUGCUUGUCCAUGUGAAUAUCACUAUCUUGCUUCUAUUUCUAGUUGCCUGUGUGUACGGUUUACACUUUGCAGAGAUGAGUACAACAAAACGCUUAAAACUAUGUAUCUGUGCCAUUGGGUUUUUUAUAAGGGUAACGGUGGGGAGUGUCUGGUCGACGUCCGCGAUCCCGCGGACAGUGCUAAUUUGCAUAAAUAUUUCGAAAAAUAGAUUCUCCAUAAUCGUCCGAUUCCAAUGGUAUAUUAUUUGUAGCCACUUUCCUGAAGCGUUCCGUGUAUAAUUGGGGUUUUCCGUGUAUAAUAUGGGUUGUAUAGUUGUAUAGUUGGGUUGCUAUGAGAACUUUUCACCAGGCAACGACAUUGCCUAUUCAUCUUAGAAAGGCUCAUUUGUACAUCAGUAUAAAUAUUACAAGCGUGUACAUCACUAUAUAUGAUGUUUUUAACCAUAAUACAUCGUUUGUAUUAUAUAUAAGAUAUAAAAAUUAAUAUUUAGUCAAAAUAGUAUGGGGAUGUUCUUGAGUUUUUGGGAAGAAGUUGGUAAUUUUUCUGAGUUUAUAAAAUAUAUAAGUCCAAACGUAACUAGCGAUCUAGUGCUGCCAUCUGCUGGCCGUUUUGAGUCAUUACACCUAUUACAUGGGAUUUUACAUUCAAUCUUAUUUAUUUCAUAAUGUUUUAUUUCUAGGUAGAAGAACCACAUUUUUUGGGGGUGCCUAUAUUUUUUACCUUCUAUUAUAUUAUUUUUCAUUAUUUUCAACCCAAUUACAGUGUAAUUUGAUAGUAAAGGCAUGAAAGUAUGAGGAAAUACCAUUGACAAAAAAUCUCAUAAUGCUUCCAAAAAAAAAUCUUGAUGCUGAAUGGCAGAAAUGUUUUCCGAAAACAAUUUUUUUGCCUGUCAAACAGAUGAGUUUUAUAAAUAGUGACCCAGAAGUCUGUUUUUAUGUGUUUUUAUUGUAGCCAGAGGGGUUGCUAUUAAAAGGAUACAUCAUAAUAGGUUGUAUCUGUUACAGAAAUGAAUCUAGGACCCAAAAUGUCCCACUAGUGAAAUCCGGCCGAAAGCCCCAUAGGCUACCAAGGGAUAAAGCUUGUAUCAUGAUAUCUAGUAUGCUUGUCCAUGUGAAUAUCACUAGCUUGCUUCUAUUUCUAGUUGUCUGUGUGUACGGUUUACACUUUGCAGAGAUGAGUAUAACAAAACGCUUAAAACUAUGUAUCUGUGCCAUUGGGUUUUUUAUAAGGGUAACGGUGGGGAGGGUCUACAAAGCUUGUAUCAUGAUAUCUAGUAUGCUUGUCCAUGUGAAUAUCACUAGCUUGCUUCUAUUUCUAGUUGUCUGUGUGUACGGUUUACACUUUGCAGAGAUGAGUAUAACAAAACGCUUAAAACUAUGUAUCUGUGCCAUUGGGUUUUUUAUAAGGGUAACGGUGGGGAGUGUCUACAAAGCUUGUAUCAUGAUAUCUAGUAUGCUUGUCCAUGUGAAUAUCACUAGCUUGCUUCUAUUUCUAGUUGCCUGUGUGUACGGUUUACACUUUGCAGAGAUGAGUACAACAAAACGCUUAAAACUAUGUAUCUGUCCCAUUGGGGUUUUUAUUAGGGUAACGGUGGGGAGUGUCUACAAAGCUUGUAUCAUGUUAUCUAGUAUACUUGUCCAUGUGAAUAUCACUAUCUUGCUUCUAUUUCUAGUUGCCUGUGUGUACGGUUUACACUUUGCAGAGAUGAGUACAACAAAACGCUUAAAACUAUGUAUCUCUCCCAUUGGGGUUUUUAUUAGGGUAACGGUGGGGAGUGUCUACAAAGCUUGUAUCAUGUUAUCUAGUAUGCUUGUCCAUGUGAAUAUCACUAGCUUGCUUCUAUUUCUAGUUGCCUGUGUGUACGGUUUAUACUUUGCAGAGAUGAGUAAAACAAAAUGCUUAAAACCACGUAUCUGUCUCAGUGGGUUUUAUUGUACAUAUGUUGCACGACAUAACAGGACUCGGGAGAGCGCUACACAUUUAAUAUACAUUACAAAGGGAUAACAGGUUCAUAAUGGUUGGCUUUGAUUAGGAAAUGAGUACACUCUGGGUUGUAAAUGGGGUAUGAGUUUUCUGUGAUCACCGCUGGCAGCUUCUCAUGUGCCAUGAGCAUUAAGGACACUUCAUCUACUCUCAACCACCUAUUGGUCCGUGUGAGAAGAAAUGUCACAUUCUGGAUGGUUGUAAUGUUAUUGAGAUUCAUGUACGUUUUUAUCACCUCAUUGUCACUAUUCGAUAUAAUGUAUUCUGCUGUUUUACGGGCAAGAUUUGUACGAGGAAAUCUGUCACGUUCGGCAUUUGCUGCUAAUCCACCCAAUAGCACAGCUACCGUGUGGAAUCCACAGUAGUUAUCGGAUUCAACUCUGAGCACCUUGAGAUCGUUUAACCGUACGUAGGCACCUAAUGUUCCUGUGUGAUAGCAAUCUAAUGUACGCUCCUCAUUUGGUACCCGUACGUUGGGAGCCUCGCACAUUACGUGCCAGCCACUGUUAUUGUAACAUAUGGAACCGGGAGCACAGAGCCCACCGUGGUACUGGUUGUAUAUGUAAUAUUUGCGCUCCUGGACAGUGAGUUCCACAU